rnacentral:rRNA from 1 species
UGCGUAGGCGGGUCUUUAAGUCAGAGGUGAAAGCCUGGAGCUCAACUCCAGAACUGCCUUUGAUACUGAGGAUCUUGAGUUCGGGAGAGGUGAGUGGAACUGCGAGUGUAGAGGUGAAAUUCGUAGAUAUUCGCAAGAACACCAGUGGCGAAGGCGGCUCACUGGCCCGAUACUGACGCUGAGGCACGAAAGCGUGGGGAGCAAACA